CCUCUUURUAUUAUAAAGAUAAGGAGUCGUGCCUGCCCAGUGAGUUUUAAACGGCCGCAGUACCCUGACUGUGCUAAGGUAGCAUAAUCAUUUGUCUUUUAAUUGGAGACUAGAAUGAAUGGCUUGACGGGAAUUAAGCUGUCUCUUUUAUAUUAUAUAGAAAUUAAUUUUUAGGUGAAGAAGCCUAAAUUGUUUUAAAAGACGAAAAGACCCUAUCGAACUUUAAACUUUGUUGAUAUUUAGUUUUUAGUAAAAUUAGUUUUUGAUUUUGUUUUUAAUUGGGGCGAUUAAAGAACAAGUAAAACUUCUUUUUAUUGGUAUAAUUAUUAAAUUAAAAUGAUCCGAAGUUGACGAAAAAAAGAAAAGUUACCGUAGGGAUAACAGCGUAAUUUUUCUGGAGAGUUCAAAUUGAAGGAAGAGAUUGCGACCUCGAUGUUGGAUUAGAAUAUCUAUUCGGUGUAGCAGCUGAAAAUAGAAGGUCUGUUCGACCUUUAAAUUUCU
rnacentral:rRNA from 1 species